GCCAGACUCCUACGGGAGGCAGCAGUGGGGGAUAUUGCACAAUGGGGGGAACCCUGAUGCAGCGACGCCGCGUGGGUGAAGGAGCGUUUCGGCGCGUAAAGCCCUCUCGGCAGGGAAGAAGGAGGACGGUACCUGACUAAGAAGCCCCGGCUAACUACGUGCCAGCAGCCGCGGUAAUACGUAGGGGGCAAGCGUUAUCCGGAUUUACUGGGUGUAAAGGGGGCGCAGACGGCAGCGCAAGCCAGGAGUGAAAGCCCGGGGCCCAACCCCGGGACUGCUCUUGGAACUGCGCGGCUGGAGUGCAGGAGGGGCAGGCGGAAUUCCUGGUGUAGCGGUGAAAUGCGUAGAUAUCAGGAGGAACACCGGUGGCGAAGGCGGCCUGCUGGACUGCGACUGACGUUGAGGCCCGAAAGCGUGGGGAGCAAACAGGAUUAGAUACCCCCGUACU
rnacentral:rRNA from 1 species